rnacentral:rRNA from 1 species
UACGUAGGGGGCUAGCGUUGUCCGGAAUCAUUGGGCGUAAAGAGCGCGUAGGCGGCUAGAUAAGUCCGGUGUGAAAGUCACAGGCUCAACCUGUGAAUGCCGCUGGAAACUGUCUGGCUAGAGUCCGGAAGGGGCGAGUGGAAUUCCUGGUGUAGCGGUGAAAUGCGCAGAUAUCAGGAGGAACACCAAUGGCGAAGGCAGCUCGCUGGGACGGUACUGACACUGAGGCGCGAAAGCGUGGGGAGCAAACAGG